AGCUAUGCCGUACAGACCCGGCUAGAAUCUGAAGUGCGGGAGAGUGCUGGACCCCAAGUGAUGGGGCCGACGCCAGCUGGAGAGCAGCUUCGCGGAGCGACUGGAGAGCCAGAGGUGAUGGAACCAGCCCUGGAAGGCACAGGCAAAGAGGGGAAGAAGGUAUCCUCCAGGAAGCGUACAUUGGCUGAACCUCCAGCGAAGGGCCUCCUGCAGCCAGUGAAGCUCAGCAGGGCAGAACUGUACAAGGAGCCUACCAAUGAGGAGCUUAAUCGCCUUCGGGAGACUGAGAGCUUGUUCCACUCCAGCUUGCUUCGUUUACAGGUAGAGGAGCUACUAAAGGAAGUAAGGCUGUCAGAGAAGAAGAAGGAUCGGAUUGAUGCCUUCCUACGGGAGGUCAACCAGCGGGUCGUGAGGGUGCCCUCAGUCCCUGAGACAGAGCUCACUGACCAGGCAUGGCUCCCUGCUGGGGUUCGAGUGCCCCUCCACCAAGUGCCCUAUGCCGUGAAGGGCUGUUUCCGCUUCCUGCCCCCAGCCCAGGUUACUGUUGUGGGCAGCUACCUUCUGGGCACCUGCAUCCGGCCAGACAUCAAUGUGGAUGUGGCACUGACCAUGCCCAGGGUAAGGUCCAGGGUUUAGGGGAUAGAGGCCCACCACCUGACUACCUACAAAUCCUGGAUCCCUCUUUCUUAUCUGCCGCUUGCCAGGGGAUUGAAGUCAGAAUUGUAAAUCAGAAGAGCCGACCAUUGCAAGCAUCCUGAAGGCAGCUUAGAUCCCUCGGGCCAGUUGCUGUCCUUUUGGAGCUUUGCCCUCCUGAUAUGAGAACUGGGCAUAGUGUUGCUACCCGUGGCUCAGGCACUUCUGUCAGCAGAGGAGCCCUGGCUCUCUCACCUUGGUUUCACCUUGGCCCACAGCUCCACAAGCACUUAUGUACCUGGCCUUCUCUUCUCCCCUGGCCCCUCCAGGAAAUCCUACAGGACAAGGAUGGGCUGAACCAGCGCUACUUCCGCAAGCGUGCCCUCUACCUGGCCCACUUGGCUCACCACCUGGCCAAGGACCCCCUCUUUGGCAGUGUUUGCUUCUCCUACACAAAUGGCUGCCACCUGAAACCCUCACUGUUGCUGCGGCCGCGUGGUGAGAGGCAUACAUUGGGCUGAGGGCAUAGCAUGGGGUGGUCAAUCUGGAGGAGGAGGCGCAGAGGCACAGAGGCCUCAAGUAUGGGGCACAGGAUGAGGAGUCCUCUGGUUCCAAGGGCUCCUGCAGAGUCUCAGCAGCCACUGUCUCUGACAGGAAAGGAUGAGUGCCUGGUCACUGUACGUCUGCAUCCGUGCCCUCCACCUGACUUCUUCCGCCCGUGCCGCUUGCUGCCAACCAAGAACAAUGUGCGCUCUGCCUGGUACCGAGGGCAGAGUCCUGCAGGGGAUGGUAGCCCAGAGCCUCCUACCCCCCACUAUAACACAUGGGUCCUGCAAGAUACAGUUCUCGAGUCCCAUUUGCAGCUCCUGUCAACCAUUCUGAGCUCAGCCCAGGGCCUGAAGGAUGGCGUGGCACUUCUGAAGGUCUGGCUGCAGCAGCGGGAGCUGGACAAGGGCCGGGGUGGGUUUACUGGGUUCCUUGUCUCCAUGCUGGUUGUCUUCCUUGUGUCUACACGCAAGAUCCAUACCACCAUGAGUGGCUACCAGGACCUGUGCCUAGACUUAGCAUGCCCUUCACUGCAGCGUCAGGCCUUUAGAUGGGACCCAGAGAAAAUGUGGCCCUCUAGGAGUCACAUCACCGACACUGAGCAGUGGAAAGGGGCUAUAUGUGUAUGAAUAGACCACAUUGAGGGAGCA
rnacentral:sRNA from 1 species